rnacentral:rRNA from 1 species
AUGGUCAUGGAGCAGAUGGGUGCCCACACGCUAUUCACAGGUAUGCCAAAAGCGGGAGAGCCUAUGUACAACGACAUGGAUAGGGAGAUGUUCGAGAUCAUCCAUGAGGGAGGUGAAGGAGGAGGUUGCUAUGAGGACGGGAUAAUCAAAGUCUCCGAUGCGUGCCCUGUCUUCGAUGGCACUGAUUACCCCUAUUGCAAGAAUAAGAUGCACAUGCAUCUUGAAGCCAUUGAUGUCGACCUCUGGUAUGUCGUCAAGAACGGCCCCAAGGCCGGUGAAGGUGUCAUCCCUGCUGAUGUCAAGAAGUUCAUUCAACUGGAUUCUACUGCCAAAAACAUCAUCUGUGGUCAUCUGACCAAAGGACAGUAUGGUCGUGUGAGUGCUGUGAAAACUGCGAAGCUAGUCUGGGACUGGCUCUCCAAGGUCAACGAAGGUGUCUCAACCUAG